CAACUCCUCCUUCCUGAAAGGAAAGUGUGUGUCAGGCACUGGAACAGACAAUCACAAAGACAAUUCAUGAUGAAACCCACAGUUGUUGUGAAAGGAGAGUUUAUGCACAGCAGCUCAGAAGGUCAGAGAUAACAGAAUAAGGUCUCCAAGAUGGAAAAGGUAUUCAACAGGAAGAGUGGACAAUCUGAAUUAAAUGGGCUAAAGCAUAUUAGAGGGGAAAUCCGUGAAACAUUCUUUUUUAUCUGUGGAAUGCUGUCUGUUGUUCCACCUGCUAAGCUCAACAUUAACUGCAAGAACACAAACAAAAGGAAGAAACAAAUGUCUGCCCUAGUCAUAAACAGCUUUGAAGAUGAGGAAAGACCCUCAAGCAUUCUUCUUUACUUUGUCAUCCUUCUCUGAGCCCAUUCCACCAAGUCUUAGAAGUUAAAAUUGCAGACAAGAGGAAGGCCUUGGAUUCCAGGGAAUUUUUCCCACCUGCAUGUUUUCUACCAGCCCACUUGAUCUAAACAAGGUUCUAACACCGCAAACAAUAAGACAUGUUGUAUGUUUUGGAUCUUCCAUAUCCCCCUGAAGAUCGUUUAUUGAAGCUGGUAGCACUGCUGGAAGAUGGACUUUUAGAAGUGUAAAGAGGCUACGCUUGCACAAAAGCGGAGGAUGGGAAGGAAUGCUGCAAAAUUCUCCCUUCUAGCCAUGCUAUGCCUGUCACACCCAUGAACACUAGACGCUGGGCAGGUCAGCAAGACCGGCGCAUAAUCAAGCAAGCCAACCUCAGUGCUUAGCUGUCAAUCUCUGUUCUGCUUCCAUCAUCUACUGGAUGAAGGCUCUAGGAUGACAUAUAAG
rnacentral:lncRNA from 1 species